rnacentral:rRNA from 1 species
CCUACGGGAGGCUGCAGUGGGGAAUAUUGGACAAUGGGCGAAAGCCUGAUCCAGCCAUGCCGCGUGUGUGAAGAAGGCCUUCGGGUUGUAAAGCACUUUCAGUGGGGAAGAAAGCCUUGGGGCUAAUACCCUCGAGGAAGGACAUCACCCACAGAAGAAGCACCGGCUAACUCCGUGCCAGCAGCCGCGGUAAUACGGAGGGUGCGAGCGUUAAUCGGAAUUACUGGGCGUAAAGCGCGCGUAGGCGGUCUGAUAAGCCGGUUGUGAAAGCCCUGGGCUCAACCUGGGAACGGCAUCCGGAACUGUCAGGCUAGAGUGCAGGAGAGGAAGGUAGAAUUCCCGGUGUAGCGGUGAAAUGCGUAGAGAUCGGGAGGAAUACCAGUGGCGAAGGCGGCCUUCUGGACUGACACUGACGCUGAGGUGCGAAAGCGUGGGUAGCAAACAGGAUUAGAUACCCGGGUAGUC